AGUGAACGCUGGCGGUAGGCCUAACACAUGCAAGUCGAACGGCAGCACAGUAAGAGCUUGCUCUUACGGGUGGCGAGUGGCGGACGGGUGAGGAAUACAUCGGAAUCUACUUUUUCGUGGGGGAUAACGCAGGGAAACUUACGCUAAUACCGCAUACGACCUACGGGUGAAAGCAGGGGAUCUUCGGACCUUGCGCGAUUGAAUGAGCCGAUGUCGGAUUAGCUAGUUGGCGGGGUAAAGGCCCACCAAGGCGACGAUCCGUAGCUGGUCUGAGAGGAUGAUCAGCCACACUGGAACUGAGACACGGUCCAGACUCCUACGGGAGGCACCAGUGGGGAAUAUUGGACAAUGGGCGCAAGCCUGAUCCAGCCAUACCGCGUGGGUGAAGAAGGCCUUCGGGUUGUAAAGCCCUUUUGUUGGGAAAGAAAAGCAGCAGGUUAAUACCCCGCUGUUCUGACGGUACCCAAAGAAUAAGCACCGGCUAACUUCGUG
rnacentral:rRNA from 1 species